rnacentral:tRNA from 1 species
GGGGAUUUAGUUCAGCGGUAGAGCGCUUGCCUAGCAAGCACAAGGCCCUGGGUUCGGUCCCCAGCUCCG